GGGGUCGUGGCGUAGCUAGGAAGCGCGGCGGGCUCCAGACCCGCAGGUCGUGGGUUCAAAUCCCACCGGCCCCA
rnacentral:tRNA from 1 species